GUGCUCNCUUCAGCAGCACAUAUACUACAAUUGGAACAAUACAGAGAAGAUUAGCAUGGGCCCUGCGCAAGAAUGAAGCGUUCCAUUUUUUUUUUUUUUUU
rnacentral:snRNA from 1 species